ACAGAAGAAGCACCGGCUAACUUCGUGCCAGCAGCCGCGGUAAUACGAGGGGUGCAAGCGUUAAUCGGAAUUACUGGGCGUAAAGCGUGCGUAGGUGGUUUGUUAAGCAAGAUGUGAAAGCCCAGGGCUCAACCUUGGAACUGCAUUUUGAACUGGCAGACUAGAGUAUUGUAGAGGGUAGUGGAAUUUCCAGUGUAGCGGUGAAAUGCGUAGAGAUUGGAAGGAACAUCAGUGGCGAAGGCGGCUACCUGGACAGAUACUGACACUGAGGCACGAAAGCGUGGGGAGCAAACAGGAUUAGAUACCCUGGUAGUCCACGCCGUAAACGAUGUCAACUAGCCGUCUGUGGUCUUGAACCGUGGGUGGCGUAGCUAACGCGCUAAGUUGACCGCCUGGGGAGUACGGCCGCAAGGUUAAAACUCAAAUGAAUUGACGGGGGCCCGCACAAGCGGUGGAGCAUGUGGUUUAAUUCGAUGCAACGCGAAGAACCUUACCAUCCCUUGACAUCCAGAGAAAUUUCUAGAGAUAGAUUUGUGCCUUCGGGAACUCUG
rnacentral:rRNA from 1 species